UGUGUAUUUAGCAGUCUGUGUGUGUGUGUGUAUUUAGCAGACUGUGUACUCAGCAGUCUGUGUGUAUUCAGCAGUCUGCUAAAUACCCAUACAGACAGACUGCCGAGCAC